UACGGGGGGGGCAAGCGUUGUUCGGAAUUACUGGGCGUAAAGGGCUCGUAGGUGGCCAACUAAGUCAGACGUGAAAUCCCUCGGCUUAACCGGGGAACUGCGUCUGAUACUGGAUGGCUGGAGAUUGGGAGAGGGAUGCGGAAUUCCAGGUGUAGCGGUGAAAUGCGUAGAUAUCAGGAGGAACACCAAUGGCGAAGGCAGCUCGCUGGAACGGUACUGACGCUGAGGCGCGAAAGCGUGGGGAGCAAACCGG
rnacentral:rRNA from 1 species